rnacentral:pre_miRNA from 7 species
UUCUGGGAUGUGCAGAGUGAAAUUGAAAGACCUUAGUGGGGAGACCCCCACUCAAGUCCCAAGAUGGUGUGCACACCCAGGGAAUCACGAGAGAUC